CAGCAGCCGCGGGAAUACGAAGGGUGCAAGCGUUACUCGGAAUUACUGGGCGUAAAGCGCACGCAGGCGGUUUGUUAAGUCAGAUGUGAAAUCCCCGGGCUCAACCUGGGAACUGCAUUUGAAACUGGCAAGCUAGAGUCUCGUAGAGGGGGGUAGAAUUCCAGGUGUAGCGGUGAAAUGCGUAGAGAUCUGGAGGAAUACCGGUGGCGAAGGCGGCCCCCUGGACGAAGACUGACGCUCAGGUGCGAAAGCGUGGGGAGCAAACAGGAUUAGAUACCCCUGUAGUCCCUGUCUCUUAUAC
rnacentral:rRNA from 1 species